rnacentral:misc_RNA from 1 species
UUUCCGUAGGUGAACCUGCGGAAGGAUCAUUCAUAAUAAAGUGUUUUAUGGCACCUUUUAAAAAUCCAUAUCCACCUUGUGUGCAAUGUUAGAUCUCGUCAAUCUUGGCGAGAUUUUUAUACAUCAACUCAUUUUUUAACUAAUUUGUCUGAAAAAUAUUAUGAAUACUUAAUUCAAAAUACAACUUUCAACAACGGAUCUCUUGGCUCUC